rnacentral:rRNA from 1 species
AGGGUUUGAUUAUGGCUCAGAUUGAACGCUGGCGGCAGGCCUAACACAUGCAAGUCGAGCGGUAGCACAGAGAGCUUGCUCUCGGGUGACGAGCGGCGGACGGGUGAGUAAUGUCUGGGAAACUGCCUGAUGGAGGGGGAUAACUACUGGAAACGGUAGCUAAUACCGCAUAACGUCGCAAGACCAAAGUGGGGGACCUUCGGGCCUCAUGCCAUCAGAUGUGCCCAGAUGGGAUUAGCUAGUAGGUGGGGUAACGGCUCACCUAGGCGACGAUCCCUAGCUGGUCUGAGAGGAUGACCAGCCACACUGGAACUGAGACACGGUCCAG